rnacentral:tRNA from 1 species
GGGCGAGUGGCGGAAUAGGCAUACGCGACAGACUUAAAAUCUGUUGAGAGUUAAAUCUCGUGUGGGUUCGAGUCCCACCUCGCCCACCA